rnacentral:lncRNA from 1 species
AAAUGAGGCAUCCUCGUUCCUUCCUUCCAUCCUUCCUUCCUUCCUUCCUCCCUCCCUUCCUUCCUUCCUUCCUUCCUUCCUUCCUUCCUUCCUUCCUUCCUUCCUUCCUUCCUUCCUCUUUCUUCUUUUCUCCUUUCUUCUCUCCUUCCUUCCUUUAUUACUUUCUACCUUUCAUAUUUUCCUUUCAUGGUUUUUUAUUUGGUCUGUAAUUUUGGGGGCACUCACUCUCCUUAGAUGGAUAAAUGAGGGUUGAAGACAGAGAGGAAAGAGUUGAUGGAAAUGGCUUCCCUCACUGCUCCCUCCCCAGAGUCCCUGAAUUACUUGUGGGAGACAAAGUAGAGAUCUCCCCUCAGGGAAGACUUCUCUACAAGCAAAGGGAAAGUCUUCAUUGAGGGGAGAUCCUGCUGGCCCUCAAAGGCAGCAGGGAAGUUUUCUUUAUAAGGAGAGAUGUAUGGGACUUCAAUCUGGGUAUGCACUGCUUUUGGUUGCUCACAAGCCUCCUCCUCAUGUCUUCUUGAAAACUGGCAACAAGAUGGAGUCUGCCAAUGGGCUUACUUUCUAGAUAUAAAUAAAUGAGAUUGAAUUAUCUAUCUGACUGCUUGA